rnacentral:lncRNA from 1 species
AAACAGAUUAGGCCUUGAAGCUUUGUAAGUGGUCUUGAGUUUUCUAGUUGGAGGUCUAACCUUCUUGAACACCAAUGGGAACUUGAUCUUGGAGUUAUGGAAUUGUUUGGUGGAUUCUCUCUUGCAAAGCUUAGCAGGAAUGGUAGCUGUCUUGAUCACCUGAAUGCAAUGGUGACGAACCCUGUGUCGAGAAGCCAUCUCAGUGUACAUCUGCUCAACUCCACCAUUUAGGGUUGUGUCCCUGUACUCCUUGUACAUGUUAUGGUAUCCAGUUCUCG